AAAUUAAAAAAAUCGAUAAAACUUUAAAUAGGAAUAGAAGUAUGAAAAUGGUCAGUAUGCUUUUACAACAGAAAUAUUUCUAAAAUUAUUCGAUUUACACAUAUAAUAAAAUUUUUAAAUAUUGGAAUACUUUGCAAGUUGAUUUGAAUACAUUAUAAAUAUCACAUUACACAUCAUGGUACAGGUAAGAAUUUUUAUUUUACAUUUUAUAUCAAAAUGAAAAAUAUUUAUUGUAAAAAAAAAUAAAAAUAUAUAUUUUCUUAAAAUAUGAGGAAAAAAAAAUAUAAGGAAUCUACAAAUACUACUUGUGGAACUUCGAACAAUGCUUUUCAUUUAUUAAUUAAUUAUGUACAGAAUCUCGUGUACAGUGCUAUAAACACAUUUCUAUAGUGACACUUGUAAGGCAGAAGAGUGUUGUGUUGCACAAGAAACAUAUUUCACAGAACUCUUUGUUUUAAGAAAUUAU